rnacentral:rRNA from 1 species
GCCCAACCACAAACUUAAACAAUAUCUCACUAUAUUGUUCGCCAGAGAACUACAAGCGCUAGCUUAAAACCCAAAGGACUUGGCGGUAUCUCACACCCACCUAGAGGAGCCUGUUCUAUAACCGAUAAUCCCCGUUAAACCUCACCACCUCUUGCCAUUACCGUCUAUAUACCGCCGUCGUCAGCUCACCCUAUGAAGGAUAAAAAGUAAGCAAAAUGAAUAAAACUCCAAAACGUCAGGUCGAGGUGUAGCAAAUGAAGUGGAAAGAAAUGGGCUACAUUUUUUUACAAAAACAUAUACGAAUGGUAGACUGAAAAACACCUAAAGGUGGAUUUAGCAGUAAGAAGAGAUCAGAACACUCUUCUGAAAUCGGCCCUGAGAUAAGC